GAUAAACGCUGGCGGCGUGCUUAACACAUGCAAGUCGAACGAAGUUUUUCUUUCGGGAGGAACUUAGUGGCGGACGGGUGAGUAACGCGUGGGUAACCUGCCCUGUACAGGGGGACAACAGCUGGAAACGGCUGCUAAUACCGCAUAAGCCCUUAGCACUGCAUGGUGCAUAGGGAAAAGGAGCAAUCCGGUACAGGAUGGACCCGCGUCUGAUUAGCCAGUUGGCAGGGUAACGGCCUACCAAAGCGACGAUCAGUAGCCGAUCUGAGAGGAUGUACGGCCACAUUGGGACUGAGACACGGCCCAGACUCCUACGGGAGGCAGCAGUGGGGAAUAUUGCACAAUGGAGGAAACUCUGAUGCAGCGACGCCGCGUGAGUGAAGAAGUAUUUCGGUAUGUAAAGCUCUAUCAGCAGGGAAGAAAAUGACGGUACCUGACUAAGAAGCACCGGCUAAAUACGUGCCAGCAGCCGCGGUAAGAGUACUCUAU
rnacentral:rRNA from 1 species